ensembl:lincRNA Platr29 pluripotency associated transcript 29
CUCUGGGCCUGCCUGUGAGUGUGGAUGGGAUGAGACCGGGAUCUGCCUCCUCACUUCCCAACUCAGGACAGUGAGCUUCCCUGGAGCUGUGAGCCAAGAUAAACCCUUCAUCCUUAGAUUGCUUUUGUCGGAAGUAUUUUAUCACAGCAACAGGAAGAGAAACCAGAACGGCACCCGCUGAAGGAAGGACGUCUCCGGUCACUGAGCCACCAUCUCUUGUUAGCACAAAUGCCUAGAAUCAACAGACGACACAGGACAUUGUAAGAUGCUGUGGAAAGUGUAGGCUAUUCAGAAAACCACCUAGCAGCUCCCAAAAGGUUCAACAACAACGACAGAAGGAAGAGCCACAUAACCCAGGGACUUGGACCUCCAGCACUCAGAACCCGGCCUAGACCCAAGGCUCUCUGGAUAAGGUCCAGGUAAACUGCCCGGAGGACACUUCUGUUCUCCGGAAGCUUUCGAUGGAGGCCUCAGGAAAAAGCAGACAAGAAAACGCUAGCGGCUGGCAACAAAGGCUCUGUUCCUGGAGACGAACGGUUCCAUUUUGCCAGAAUCCUUUCCAAGAGAUUCUAAUCCGAUCUGAGUGAAGAGCCUGUCUCUGUAUUCUCUUCACUGAAGACAUACCUGCCCCAUGCAUAGCCUGUUCGUUGUCGACAGACAUCCAUCUCCAAGGAAUAUAUGUGCACAGCGGAAGACUUGUGGGCACUGCCUCUUCCAGUUUGACAGCAAGUGUCUUUUACCUUCUCAGCCACCUGAGAACCCAGAAGAGUUGCUUUUCAAAGCUGAGCUCUGACUAAUAAUAAAACUAGAAACAACAACGAUAAUAAUAAA